UCACAUUGGUUAACUAUGCCUGGAACAAAGUGAAGGGAAGUCCAGGAUACAAAGCUACCGAUGCCGAGGAGACAUACACGAAGCAAGACAAUGAAAAAUAGAUUACAUUCCAUUAUUUCUGUGUUUCACUUCAUUAUCUAUGAUGAUCGAGUAUUCCAAACCAAUCAAGUUAUUUUCAUUUCUAUGUGCAGAUCCCUAGUUUAGAUGUUAAUAGGAACAUAUCAUAUACCUCAAGGUAGUUUAACUUUUGUCAGGACACACCAACUGCCCUACAGGUCUAGAACAGCACCUAUUUCCUCCCGGUCCUCACCAUCUGCGCUAUUUUUUUCAAAAAAAAGAACCAUCAAAGGCGUUAAAGAAUUACACCUAUUACCUCAUUUAGCCAAUUCUGAAAAAUCAUAAUUGGAUAAACAAUCACCAGAGCUACUGUUAGUUUCUACAUCACAGAGGUGCCUGCCUAAAUCAUGCUAGUGAAUUCUUUCAUUUCUUCAGAUUACUAAAGCAUCUUCAUUUAAGCAAGCUUGCAGUGAUUCAGAGCAGCACCAAUUCCUUUCCUAGAAUCAGUAAGAAGCACAAUAACCAUACCUCGUAUGAAUCGGGUACUUUGGGAAGAGCUCCGCGAGGAUCCGGUACAGCUCACCGCGGUGCAGAGUCCGCUCGGCACAAACUGGAAAGGAGGGAGGAGGAGGAGGACAAGGAGGAGGAGGUGGCGGACCGGAAAGGUCUAGCGGCGGCGGCGGUGGUGGCAGCGAACUGGAAAGGAGGGAGGAGGACGAGGACUAGGACGAGGCGGCGGCGGACAUGAAAGAGCUGGCGGCGGCGGUGGCCCAAGCGAGAGCGACGGGAGGCGUCCAGACGGCGGGCGGCGGGCGGGAGGCGGCGGCGGCCGAGCGAUAGGAGGAGGCCUGCGGCCUGGAAGAUCCGGAGGCGAACCUUGCGGCGGGAGGCGGCGUGGAAAAGCCGGAGGCGGCGUGCGUGCGGGAAGAGCCAGAGGAGGCGUGCAUAUCCUAAGCCGCGCCGCCACCCGCCGCCCGCCCGUAGUCGCCGCCGACCCUUGGAGUCUCCGGCGCCCGCCGCCGCGGAGUCGCCGCCGCCGCCCCAAUUCAACCCUAGGUACCGUGGAGCAGCAGCGCGGCGCGCAUCUCCUGAACCGCGGAGUCGCCACCGCCGACCGCGUAGACGCCGCCGCUCGCCGCCACCCGCUGGAGUCUCCGCCGAUCGCCAGAUUCUUCGCCUACCGCCGUCGGGGAGUCGGCGCCGCCGCCCCGUUGCAACCCUAGAUGAGGCUGCGACGGAUUGGA
rnacentral:lncRNA from 1 species